UACGUAGGUGGCAAGCGUUGUCCGGAUUUAUUGGGCGUAAAGGGCGCGCAGGCGGUUCGUUAGGUCCGAGGUGAAAUCUCCCGGCUCAACUGGGAGGGGUCUUCGGAUACCGGCGGGCUUGAGGUGAGCAGAGGUGAGCGGAAUUCUGGAUGUAGUGGUGAAAUGCGUAGAUAUCCAGAGGAACACCAGUGGCGAAGGCGGCUCACUGGGCUCCACCUGACGCUGAGGCGCGAAAGCGUGGGGAGCGAACCGG
rnacentral:rRNA from 1 species